rnacentral:rRNA from 1 species
GCGCGACAGCGCAAAGGCAGGCGGUUUCGCGUAGCGAAAGCGAAUGCUUUGGGGUGGGGUGACUGCGUACCUUUUGUAUAAUGGGUCAGCGACUUAUAUUCUGUAGCAAGGUUAACCGAAUAGGGGAGCCGGAGGGAAACCGAGUCUUAACCGGGCGUUAAGUUGCAGGGUAUAGACCCGAAACCCGGUGAUCUAGCCAUGGGCAGGUUGAAGGUUGGGUAACACUAACUGGAGGACCGAACCGACUAAUGUUGAAAAAUUAGCGGAUGACCUGUGGCUGGGGGUGAAAGGCCAAUCAAACCGGGAGAUAGCUGGUUCUCCCCGAAAGCUAUUUAGGUAGCGCCUCGUGAAUUCAUCUCCGGGGGUAGAGCACUGUUUCGGCUAGGGGGCCAUCCCGGCUUACCAACCCGAUGCAAACUGCGAAUACCGGAGAAUGUUAUCACGGGAGACACACGGCGGGUGCUAACGUCCGUCGUGAAGAGGGAAACAACCCAGACCGCCAGCUAAGGUCCCAAAGUCAUGGUUAAGUGGGAAACGAUGUGGGAAGGCCCAGACAGCCAGGAUGUUGGCUUAGAAGCAGCCAUCAUUUAAAGAAAGCGUAAUAGCUCACUGGUCGAGUCGGCCUGCGCGGAAGAUGUAACGGGGCUAAACCAU